GACGAACGCUGGCGGCGUGCUUAACACAUGCAAGUCAAGGGGGCCCGCAAGGGCAACCGGCGAACGGGUGCGUAACACGUGAGCAACCUGCCGAUCUGAGGGGGAUAGCCGGCCCAACGGCCGGGUAAUACCGCAUACGCUCAUCGGGGGGAGUCCCCUGGUCGAGGAAACCUCCGGGGCAGAUCGAGGGGCUCGCGGCCUAUCAGCUAGUUGGCGGGGUAAUGGCCCACCAAGGCGACGACGGGUAGCUGGUCUGAGAGGAUGGCCAGCCACAUUGGGACUGGGGGACGGCCCAGAGUCCUACGGGAGGCAGCAGUGGGGAAUAUUGCGCAAUGGCCGAAAGGCUGACGCAGCGACGCCGCGUGGAGGAUGACGCCCCUCGGGGUGUAAACUCCUGUUGCCCGGGACGAACGCGCGGUUUCGACCGCAGUGACGGUACCGGGUGAGGAAGCACCGGCUAACUCCGUGCCAGCCGCCGCCGUAACAC
rnacentral:rRNA from 1 species